GACAUAGGUCGCGAACAUUAUCCGGAAUUACUGGGCGUAAAGGGUGCGUAGGCGGUUCGUUAAGUCUGUCGUGAAAUCCCCGGGCUCAACCUGGGAAUGGCGAUGGAUACUGGCGAGCUAGAGUGUGUCAGAGGAUGGUGGAAUUCCCGGUGUAGCGGUGAAAUGCGUAGAGAUCGGGAGGAACAUCAGUGGCGAAGGCGGCCAUCUGGGACAACACUGACGCUGAAGCACGAAAGCGUGGGGAGCAAACAGG
rnacentral:rRNA from 1 species